CAUCAAGCAAUUAUGCUGGCCAGAGACUGCCAAAAGAUGAUGCCCUUUUUGAAGCACUAGGAUCCAAUGAUGAGCUCUCGUCAUCUCUAGGACUAGCAAGAGAAUUCUGCGGUCCCCAGAGCACAUUACCUGAUAAAUUACAAGAGAUACAGUGCUUGUUACAAGAUAUUGGGUCACAUCUGGCAACACUGCGUUCAUCAGCCACACCCACUA